UUUAAGACUGACGUUAGUAACCCAGCUCAGAACAGGACCAGAGGGAUGGACCGGGAUGACAGGAAAACUGGAACUUGUGUAACAGACACUAAAAAAACUAGGUGUCAGCGUUUUCUGGAAGAGGAACUCUGGGUGGAAUGAUCAGUGUGUAACAGGAUAUAAAAAUGGAAGCUUCUACAGAGACACUGAGCUACAAUAAAUGUGAAAUUUCAGAGUCAGGUGCCAAAUCGCCAUAUAUAGAUUUACAAAAGAAAUGGUUCCCGGGCCUGUUCAGCGACUCUGGAGGGUCUCAGCCAGAUCAAAGAUAGGAAAGGUCAGAGAGCGAGAAAGGGGAAAUAGAGGAAGAGAUUUAGGGGGAAGGGGUAGUAGCUGUGGUGUCUAAGACCCCACCCAAGCCCUUAAAAUGAAAGGUUAUAUGGGGAAGGAUGUAUGUGGGAAGGUUUUACCUCUUAACCAAAGUCUAAUGAGGGAUCCGUCUGAGCCUGUCUCCUCACCCCCACUCUCCCUACCCUGGCCCUCAAAGGAGGGCUUCUUUACAGUUAAUUGAUUUCUUGGAAUGGUCCCAAGGGAC
rnacentral:lncRNA from 1 species